GCGUUCAUAGCUCAGUUGGUUAGAGCACCACCUUGACAUGGUGGGGGUCGUGUGGUUCGAGUCCACUCGGGACGCACCA
rnacentral:tRNA from 1 species